rnacentral:rRNA from 1 species
CGGAGGAUGCGAGCGUUAUCCGGAAUUAUUGGGUUUAAAGGGUGCGUAGGUUGCAAGGGAAGUCAGGGGUGAAAAGCUGUAGCUCAACUAUGGUCUUGCCUUUGAAACUCUCUAGCUAGAGUGUACUGGAGGUACGUGGAACGUGUGGUGUAGCGGUGAAAUGCAUAGAUAUCACACAGAACUCCGAUUGCGCAGGCAGCGUACUACAUUACAACUGACACUGAAGCACGAAAGCGUGGGUAUCCAACAGGAUU